rnacentral:rRNA from 1 species
AGUCAGAUGUGAAAGCCCUGGGCUUAACCUGGGAACUGCAUUUGAUACUGGCAGGCUAGAGUUGAGUAGAGGAGAGUGGAAUUUCAGGUGUAGCGGUGAAAUGCGUAGAGAUCUGAAGGAACACCAGUGGCGAAGGCGGCUCUCUGGACUCAAACUGACGCUGAGGUACGAAAGCGUGGGUAGCAAACAGGAUUAGAUACCCUGGUAGUCCACGCUGUAAACGAUGUCAACUAGCCGUUGGUCCUUCAAGGAGGAUUAGUGGCGCAGCUAACGCAUUAAGUUGACCGCCUGGGGAGUACGGCCGCAAGGUUAAAACUCAAAUGAAUUGACGGGGGCCCGCACAAGCGGUGGAGCAUGUGGUUUAAUUCGAUGCAACGCGAAGAACCUUACCUACCCUUGACAUCCAAUGAAUCGCUUAGAGAUAGGCGAGUGCCUUCGGGAACAUUGAGACAGGUGCUGCAUGGCUGUCGUCAGCUCGUGUUGUGAAAUGUUGGGUUAAGUCCCGUAACGAGCGCAACCCUUAUCCUUAGUUGCCAACAGGUCAUGCUGGGAACUCUAGGGAGACUGCCGCUGAUAAAGCGGAGGAAGGUGGGGACGACGUCAAGUCAUCAUGGCCCUUAUGGGUAGGGCUACACACGUGCUACAAUGGCCGGUACAGAGGGUCGCCAACCCGCGAGGGGGAGCCAAUCUCACAAAGCCGAUCGUAGUCCGGAUUGGAGUCUGCAACUCGACUCCAUGAAGUCGGAAUC